AUGUCCUCCUCCACCGCAAUCAUCUGCUCCGGCCUCAACUACAACACAUCAGAACCCCUCAGCUGGACGAACUACAUUCUCUGGCGAGCCCAAGAGCGAUCCCAGAUUCUGGGCGCUGGCUUGUUUGGCUACAUAGAUCAAACCAUAGAGAAGCCUUCCAAAACAAUCACUAGCAAAGACAAAGAUGGUAAGGAGCAGGUAGUUCCCAAUCCUGACUAUAAUCCCUGGUUAGUUCAAGAUUAG
rnacentral:rRNA from 1 species